GUCCACGCCGUAAACGAUGAAUACUAGGUGUCGGUUGGCAUAGCCAAUCGGUGCCGCAGCUAACGCAAUAAGUAUUCCACCUGGGGAGUACGUUCGCAAGAAUGAAACUCAAAGGAAUUGACGGGGACCCGCACAAGCGGUGGAGCAUGUGGUUUAAUUCGACGCAACGCGAAGAACCUUACCAAGUCUUGACAUCCCGAUGACCAACUAUGUAAUGUAGUCUCUCUUCGGAGCAUCGGUGACAGGUGGUGCAUGGUUGUCGU
rnacentral:rRNA from 1 species